AUUGAACGCUGGCGGCAUGCUUUACACAUGCAAGUCGAACGGUAACAGGCCGCAAGGUGCUGACGAGUGGCGAACGGGUGAGUAAUGCAUCGGAACGUGCCCAGUCGUGGGGGAUAACGCAGCGAAAGCUGUGCUAAUACCGCAUACGAUCUAUGGAUGAAAGCGGGGGACCGUAAGGCCUCGCGCGAUUGGAGCGGCCGAUGUCAGAUUAGGUAGUUGGUGGGGUAAUGGCCGACCAAGCCGACGAUCUGUAGCUGGUCUGAGAGGACGACUAGCCACACUGGGACUGAGACACGGCCCAGACUCCCACGGGAGGCAGCAGUGGGGAAUUUUGGACAAUGGGCGCAAGCCUGAUCCAGCAAUGCCGCGUGCAGGAAGAAGGCCUUCGGGUUGUAAACUGCUUUUGUACGGAACGAAACGGUCUCGGUUAGUCCCCUGGGCUAAUGACGGUACCGUAAGAAUACGCACCGGCUAACUACGUGCCAGCCGCCGCAGUAAGAC
rnacentral:rRNA from 1 species